rnacentral:rRNA from 1 species
GUGCCAGCAGCCGCGGUAACACGGACUGCGCGAACGUUAUUCGGAAUCACUGGGCUUAAAGCGUCCGUAGGCGGCCGUGCAGGUGGGGUGUGAAAUCCCUCGGCUUAACCGAGGAAUUGCGCUCCAAACCACACGGCUUGAGAGAGAUAGAGGUGAGCGGAACUCACGGUGGAGCGGUGAAAUGCGUUGAUAUCGUGAGGAACACCGGUGGCGAAAGCGGCUCACUGGGUCUCUUCUGACGCUGAGGGACGAAAGCUAGGGGAGCGAACGGGAUUAGAUACCCCGGUAGUCCUAGCUGUAAACGAUGAGCACUAGAUCGAGGGGACCUCCACAUCCCCUUGGUCGUAGCGAAAGUGUUAAGUGCUCCGCCUGGGGAGUAUGGUCGCAAGGCUGAA